rnacentral:rRNA from 1 species
GACGAACGCUGGCGGCGUGCCUAAUACAUGCAAGUCGAGCGGAUCUUCAUUAGCUUGCUUUUGAAGAUCAGCGGCGGACGGGUGAGUAACACGUGGGCAACCUGCCUGUAAGACUGGGAUAACUUCGGGAAACCGGAGCUAAUACCGGAUAAUCCUUUCCUUCACAUGAGGGGAAGCUGAAAGACGGUUUCGGCUGUCACUUACAGAUGGACCCGCGGCGCAUUAGCUAGUUGGUGAGGUAACGGCUCACCAAGGCAACGAUGCGUAGCCGACCUGAGAGGGUGAUCGGCCACACUGGGACUGAGACACGGCCCAGACUCCUACGGGAGGCAGCAGUAGGGAAUCUUCCGCAAUGGACGAAAGUCUGACGGAGCAACGCCGCGUGAGCGAAGAAGGCCUUCGGGUCGUAAAGCUCUGUUGUUAGGGAAGAACAAGUACGAGAGUAACUGCUCGUACCAUGACGGUACCUAACCAGAAAGCCACGGCUAACUACGUGCCAGCCGCCGCAGUAACAC